UUCCCCAAAAGGAACAAAGUCAAUCAGUGACCAGGGCUGAGACAAUUGUGCUGUAGAUUUUAGUUGUCUUGGAACUGUGUGGCUGUCUUGAGUAGCAUAUAGCCCUAGUUAUCCUGAAAGUCCUUUGUUGUUCUUUGAUGAGCAAUACUGAGUUGUGAUGCUGUGAAUUUUUUUUUUUUUAAGACUAAUAUUUUCUCCAAUGAAUGAUGCCUAUCAGUCACACACUGUAGGUAAAGAAGCAUUCCUACGAGAAGCCUAGUGUGAGAGGAACUCUUACAGAAACACAGUCCUGAAUUUUCAGUAACAAAUCCAAAAGUUACCAAGCUUCUGAUCUAGAGGCAAACACUGGAGUAGUCAAGCUGCUACAGCAGAAACAGUGAGAACUGGAAGCAAGAAAAAGAACAAGCUGAGUAUCUUUUCAGCAGUGGACAAUUUCAUUUUUCAGUUUUCCUGGUGUGAUUGAAAAAUACAAAUUUCUGCUGUGGAACUGCUUUCUGCACAGUUGUGUCCUGCUUGCUUGACCUUGCAGCAGCAACUAUGGCUCCUAUUUGGGUCGAGAGCUCCCACACAGGCUGCUCGGAAGAAGGAAAGGAGUGGAGGUUGGUUGAAAAGAAAGUUACUGCUGUCAGGUGAUCAACAAUUUUAAAUACACUCUGUAUUUCAGUGACUUUCAAGUCUGACUCCCAAAAUUUUCCUUUCCUCUCCUCCCUCACCUUCUGGAAAAUAAAUUUCUCAUUCCACUACAGUGGUGAAAAUAUGGCUCACUCUUCCAAGAGCUGAGAGAGUAGUGGUCUUCACCCAGUCAGGUGGAAUAUGUGUCUGUCUGGAUGCUCUGGGCAAUGUGGGGACAGGACAUAAAGUCAGACUACAUGAAACUGAGGCCUGCUACCUUAAGCACAUUUUACUUAAGCAGAGGUUUAUGUGGAAAAGUGGACAGGUCACUGAAGAUUUAGCUGUUCUGCUUUGCUUUUCAGUAAGUGUUCUUCCAAGUUCAUCUGUUUUUCUGCUCUAGAGGUUGUGCUGAAGGCUGAAAAGGUACACUGGAUGUGUGAUGGCCUAUGAGAGGGUUCUUGGGACUUUGGGUUUGCAUUAGUACAGUAACAAUUAGUAACUGCACUGUUGUUUCAGAACUAAAUUUUUUAAGCAUGGGCACACAGAACAGCUGGAGAAACAAAUGGUCUGGCAAUGUUUAGAUGUGCUGUUUAGGCAUGGACCAGUGAAGUCUGCUGCUGUCCAUAGAGCCAAACUGACAAAUGUAUGUGUUAACAGGCCUGAUGCAUAUUUAGAUUGUGUCCAUUAGAAUGAUCUAUUCUGGAAUAAGCAUGCAAAUGAAUAAUCAAGUUGUUAUGCCCUCUGUGUCGUAGACUUGACUGCUAGUAUGCUGCAUAGCUUUGAUAAAAGGAACUGCAGAAUAAAUAAGGCCCAAGGAAAGUCAA